UUCGACACACUAUCAUUAACUGAAUCCAUAGGUUAAUGAGGCGAACCGGGGGAACUGAAACAUCUAAGUACCCCGAGGAAAAGAAAUCAACCGAGAUUCCCCCAGUAGCGGCGAGCGAACGGGGAGGAGCCCAGAGCCUGAAUCAGUGUGUGUGUUAGUGGAAGCGUCUGGAAAGGCGCGCGAUACAGGGUGACAGCCCCGUACACAAAAAUGCACAUAUUGUGAGCUCGAUGAGUAGGGCGGGACACGUGGUAUCCUGUCUGAAUAUGGGGGGACCAUCCUCCAAGGCUAAAUACUCCUGACUGACCGAUAGUGAACCAGUACCGUGAGGGAAAGGCGAAAAGAACCCCGGCGAGGGGAGUGAAAAAGAACCUGAAACCGUGUACGUACAAGCAGUGGGAGCCUCUUAAUGGGGUGACUGCGUACCUUUUGUAUAAUGGGUCAGCGACUUAUAUUCUGUAGCAAGGUUAACCGAAUAGGGGAGCCGAAGGGAAACCGAGUCUUAACUGGGCGUUAAGUUGCAGGGUAUAGACCCGAAACCCGGUGAUCUAGCCAUGGGCAGGUUGAAGGUUGGGUAACACUAACUGGAGGACCGAACCGACUAAUGUUGAAAAAUUAGCGGAUGACUUGUGGCUGGGGGUGAAAGGCCAAUCAAACCGGGAGAUAGCUGGUUCUCCCCGAAAGCUAUUUAGGUAGCGCCUCGUGAAUUCAUCUCCGGGGGUAGAGCACUGUUUCGGCAAGGGGGUCAUCCCGACUUACCAACCCGAUGCAAACUGCGAAUACCGGAGAAUGUUAUCACGGGAGACACACGGCGGGUGCUAACGUCCGUCGUGAAGAGGGAAACAACCCAGACCGCCAGCUAAGGUCCCAAAGUCAUGGUUAAGUGGGAAACGAUGUGGGAAGGCCCAGACAGCCAGGAUGUUGGCUUAGAAGCAGCCAUCAUUUAAAGAAAGCGUAAUAGCUCACUGGUCGAGUCGGCCUGCGCGGAAGAUGUAACGGGGCUAAACCAUGCACCGAAGCUGCGGCAGCGACACUAUGUGUUGUUG
rnacentral:rRNA from 1 species